ACCUGGAUGGCUUAGUUGGCUAAGCAUCUGCCUUUGACUCAGGUCGUGGUCCUGGGGUCCUGGGAUCAAACCCCACUUCAGGCU
rnacentral:tRNA from 1 species